rnacentral:rRNA from 1 species
AGUGAACGCUGGCGGUAGGCCUAACACAUGCAAGUCGAACGGCAGCACAGUAAGAGCUUGCUCUUACGGGUGGCGAGUGGCGGACGGGUGAGGAAUACAUCGGAAUCUACUUUUUCGUGGGGGAUAACGUAGGGAAACUUACGCUAAUACCGCAUACGACCUACGGGUGAAAGCAGGGGAUCUUCGGACCUUGCGCGAUUGAAUGAGCCGAUGUCGGAUUAGCUAGUUGGCGGGGUAAAGGCCCACCAAGGCGACGAUCCGUAGCUGGUGUGAGAGGAUGAUCAGCCGCACGAGAGCUGAAACAGGGACCAGGCUCCUACGGGAGGCAGCAGUGGGGUAUGUUGGACAAUGGGCGCAAGCAUGGUCCAGCCAUACCGCGUGGGUGAAGAAGGCGUUCGGGUUGUAAAGCCCGUUUGUGGGGAAAGAAAAGCAGCAGGUUAAUACCACGCUGUUCUGACGGUACCCAAAGAAGAAGCACCGGCUAACUACGUG